CAACGCAGCGUUAUGACAACAUAAAGUAACAGGUAUGUUGGCUUUAUGAAAGAAUGUAAUGUUUCAAUAAAAGUGUUUGUUUACCUUCUGUCACUCCCUGUAACUUGUACCUCACCUCCCUCAUCCUCUCCAGAGCUUUCAGAUUGGGGGUGGCUGUGUGAUGCAGCACUCCUUCGAUGGAGGACACUGAAGCCUUCAGCUUCUCCAGGUGCUCCUGCUCAUACUCCCGGAUGCUGUUCACACCGAUCUCAGCACAGAAAUCAGAAAACACCAGGUCCUCCAUCUGAAUACAAAGAUCAUCAGACUGAUCACUGACAAGUACAAACACUACAGCCAAUCACAAGAAACAGAGGAGACAGAAGUUGUUUUAAGUCCACAUCAGCAUGUGGGAGCGGGCUGCUGAAGCUGUGCAGAUGGGACAGACCUGGUUGAUCUGGUCUCUGAUCUUCCUCAUCUCUGCCUCCUUUCCCUCCACACUUUCGAGCUGCAUCUGGAUCUGAUAGUCCAGGUUUGCUACUUCACUUUCCAUGCGAGAGAUUUCCUGAAAACCACAGGGAGACAGGACAGACACAAUAUUACUGCCAAGUCAUGAACUCUUACGUCAUAGCAUGGAUAAACCAGGGAAAAUAAAGUUCAAGAAACAGGAUACACUGAAAAGACUGAAAACAAAAGGACACUGAUCCCACAAAUCACACUAAAAAUCAACAACAACCCAACAACAAUUCAAUUUUAUCAUACCGCUUGGCACUUGGGGGUGUUUUUUUUCCGGAGGUUUUCCAGCUCAUUUUUGGAGUAUUUGAGGCGGAUCUGAGCACCCUGGGCCUGAGCAACGACCUGUUUCAGGUCCGAAUCCUUCCGCUUCAGCUUCAUUAGAUCCUGUCAUAAAAACACAGUACUGUUUAUCAUGAAGAAAGUACGCAGUCCUGUAAGCAAUCCUCACUCACUUGUUCAGUGCAUUAUACAGUUACAUACACAGAACAGGCACAGCUUUUCUCCUUUAUGUAACUUUUGAAAAAUGCUGUGAACUCUCAUGUCCCCAUGUUUUUCUUUCCGUGAAUGUAUUUUCAUUUUUAUCCCUUAUAACAUCAACCUGCCAAGGGACUACAAUUAGCCUCAGGCUACAACCUACAUUUUAAUGAUUAUCAAUGUGCAA